rnacentral:rRNA from 1 species
CAGCCGCCGCGGGAAAACAGAGGGUGCAAGCGUUAAUCGGAAUUACUGGGCGUAAAGCGCGCGUAGGUGGUUUGUUAAGUUGGAUGUGAAAUCCCCGGGCUCAACCUGGGAACUGCAUCCAAAACUGGCAGGCUAGAGUAGGGCAGAGGGUGGUGGAAUUUCCUGUGUAGCGGUGAAAUGCGUAGAUAUAGGAAGGAACACCAGUGGCGAAGGCGACCACCUGGGCUCAUACUGACACUGAGGUGCGAAAGCGUGGGGAGCAAACAGGAUUAGAUACCCCGGUAGUCCCUGUCUCUUAUAC